CCCAGUAGCGGCGAAGCGAACGGGGAGGAGCCCAGAGCCUGAAUCAGUGUGUGUGUUAGUGGAAGCGUCUGGAAAGGCGCGCGAUACAGGGUGACAGCCCCGUACACAAAAAUACACAUAUUGUGAGCUCGAUGAGUAGGGCGGGACACGUGGUAUCCUGUCUGAAUAUGGGGGGACCAUCCUCCAAGGCUAAAUACUCCUGACUGACCGAUAGUGAACCAGUACCGUGAGGGAAAGGCGAAAAGAACCCCGGCGAGGGGAGUGAAAAAGAACCUGAAACCGUGUACGUACAAGCAGUGGGAGCACGCUUAGGCGUGUGACUGCGUACCUUUUGUAUAAUGGGUCAGCGACUUAUAUUCUGUAGCAAGGUUAACCGAAUAGGGGAGCCGAAGGGAAACCGAGUCUUAACUGGGCGUUAAGUUGCAGGGUAUAGACCCGAAACCCGGUGAUCUAGCCAUGGGCAGGUUGAAGGUUGGGUAACACUAACUGGAGGACCGAACCGACUAAUGUUGAAAAAUUAGCGGAUGACUUGUGGCUGGGGGUGAAAGGCCAAUCAAACCGGGAGAUAGCUGGUUCUCCCCGAAAGCUAUUUAGGUAGCGCCUCGUGAAUUCAUCUCCGGGGGUAGAGCACUGUUUCGGCAAGGGGGUCAUCCCGACUUACCAACCCGAUGCAAACUGCGAAUACCGGAGAAUGUUAUCACGGGAGACACACGGCGGGUGCUAACGUCCGUCGUGAAGAGGGAAACAACCCAGACCGCCAGCUAAGGUCCCAAAGUCAUGGUUAAGUGGGAAACGAUGUGGGAAGGCCCAGACAGCCAGGAUGUUGGCUUAGAAGCAGCCAUCAUUUAAAGAAAGCGUAAUAGCUCACUGGUCGAGUCGGCCUGCGCGGAAGAUGUAACGGGGCUAAACCAUGCACCGAAGCUGCGGCAGCGACGCUUAUGCGUUGUUGGGUAGGGGAGCGUUCUGUAAGCCUGCGAAGGUGUGCUGUGAGGCAUGCUGGAGGUAUCAGAAGUGCGAAUGCUGACAUAAGUAACGAUAAAGCGGGUGAAAAGCCCGCUCGCCGGAAGACCAAGGGUUCCUGUCCAACGUUAAUCGGGGCAGGGUGAGUCGACCCCUAAGGCGAGGCCGAAAGGCGUAGUCGAUGGGAAACAGGUUAAUAUUCCUGUACUUGGUGUUACUGCGAAGGGGGGACGGAGAAGGCUAUGUUGGCCGGGCGACGGUUGUCCCGGUUUAAGCGUGUAGGCUGGUUUUCCAGGCAAAUCCGGAAAAUCAAGGCUGAGGCGUGAUGACGAGGCACUACGGUGCUGAAGCAACAAAUGCCCUGCUUCCAGGAAAAGCCUCUAAGCAUCAGGUAACAUCAAAUCGUACCCCAAACCGACACAGGUGGUCAGGUAGAGAAUACCAAGGCGCUUGAGAGAACUCGGGUGAAGGAACUAGGCAAAAUGGUGCCGUAACUUCGGGAGAAGGCACGCUGAUAUGUAGGUGAAGUCCCUUGCGGAUGGAGCUGAAAUCAGUCGAAGAUACCAGCUGGCUGCAACUGUUUAUUAAAAACACAGCACUGUGCAAACACGAAAGUGGACGUAUACGGUGUGACGCCUGCCCGGUGCCGGAAGGUUAAUUGAUGGGGUCAGCGCAAGCGAAGCUCUUGAUCGAAGCCCCGGUAAACGGCGGCCGUAACUAUAACGGUCCUAAGGUAGCGAAAUUCCUUGUCGGGUAAGUUCCGACCUGCACGAAUGGCGUAAUGAUGGCCAGGCUGUCUCCACCCGAGACUCAGUGAAAUUGAACUCGCUGUGAAGAUGCAGUGUACCCGCGGCAAGACGGAAAGACCCCGUGAACCUUUACUAUAGCUUGACACUGAACAUUGAGCCUUGAUGUGUAGGAUAGGUGGGAGGCUUUGAAGUGUGGACGCCAGUCUGCAUGGAGCCGGCCUUGAAAUACCACCCUUUAAUGUUUGAUGUUCUAACGUGGACCCGUGAUCCGGGUUGCGGACAGUGUCUGGUGGGUAGUUUGACUGGGGCGGUCUCCUCCUAAAGAGUAACGGAGGAGCACGAAGGUUGGCUAAUCCUGGUCGGACAUCAGGAGGUUAGUGCAAUGGCAUAAGCCAGCUUGACUGCGAGCGUGACGGCGCGAGCAGGUGCGAAAGCAGGUCAUAGUGAUCCGGUGGUUCUGAAUGGAAGGGCCAUCGCUCAACGGAUAAAAGGUACUCCGGGGAUAACAGGCUGAUACCGCCCAAGAGUUCAUAUCGACGGCGGUGUUUGGCACCUCGAUGUCGGCUCAUCACAUCCUGGGGCUGAAGUAGGUCCCAAGGGUAUGGCUGUUCGCCAUUUAAAGUGGUACGCGAGCUGGGUUUAGAACGUCGUGAGACAGUUCGGUCCCUAUCUGCCGUGGGCGCUGGAGAACUGAGGGGGGCUGCUCCUAGUACGAGAGGACCGGAGUGGACGCAUCACUGGUGUUCGGGUUGUCAUGCCAAUGGCACUGCCCGGUAGCUAAAUGCGGAAGAGAUAAGUGCUGAAAGCAUCUAAGCACGAAACUUGCCCCGAGAUGAGUUCU
rnacentral:rRNA from 1 species